rnacentral:rRNA from 1 species
UACGAAGGGGGCGAGCGUUGUUCGGAUUUACUGGGCGUAAAGGGCGCGCAGGCGGCGCAUUUUGUCAGGCGUGAAAGCCCCGGGCUUAACCUGGGAACUGCCUUUGAUACUGGUGAGCUUGAGUCCGGAAGAGGUGAGUGGAACUGCGAGUGUAGAGGUGAAAUUCGUAGAUAUUCGCAAGAACACCAGUGGCGAAGGCGGCUCACUGGUCCGGUACUGACGCUGAGGUGCGAAAGCGUGGGGAGCAAACAGG